rnacentral:rRNA from 1 species
UACGAGGGGGGCAAGCGUUGUUCGGAAUUAUUGGGCGUAAAGGGCGCGUAGGCGGUGCGGUAAGUCUGUUGUGAAAUCUCCGGGCUCAACUCGGAGUCUGCAUCAGAAACUGCCGUGCUGGAGUGUGGGAGAGGUGAGUGGAAUUCCCGGUGUAGCGGUGAAAUGCGUAGAGAUCGGGAGGAACACCUGCGGCGAAAGCGGCUCACUGGACCAUAACUGACGCUGAUGCACGAAAGCUAGGGGAGCAAACAGG